rnacentral:rRNA from 1 species
GUAGGGGGCAAGCGUUAUCCGGAUUUACUGGGUGUAAAGGGAGCGCAGACGGCAGUGCAAGUCUGGAGUGAAAGCCCGGGGCUCAACCCCGGGACUGCUUUGGAAACUGCAUAGCUGGAGUGCUGGAGAGGCAAGCGGAAUUCCUAGUGUAGCGGUGAAAUGCGUAGAUAUUAGGAAGAACACCAGUGGCGAAGGCGGCUUGCUGGACAGUAACUGACGUUGAGGCUCGAAAGCGUGGGGAGCAAA